UUCGCUUUGGUCAAAUUAAUUUAAUAGGUUUAGUUUUACUUAGUGUUAACAAACUCAAUUCAUUCAACAUGUGGCAAACAUUCAGUCUUUAUAUAUUUCAGUGUUUCUUUUUUUAUACUAAGUUUGUGGACGAGUAAAAAUGGGUCACCUAAUAUCAUUCAGAUGACGACAACUCUUGAAACUGGUAGGAUUAUAUUUUUGAUCCGACAUCUGCAAAAUUAAACUAAGUGUGAAAUAAAUUGUAAAGGUUCCACCAGCAGAAAAAAAAUUCUUAUGAGUAUAUAUACGAAGGCUCGUCUCGAUCCAUCUACAGCCCCGACGCCCGAGCCUUAAAAGAUAGGGGGGACUCGUGCUGCCAUGCUCGUCGUGCUGUGAGGGCGAGAUUGAGAUCAUCUUCGCCUCCUGGCUCCACAUGAGCGUAGCCCAACACCGGAAAGGCCACAGAUACGUUAUAUCGACGCGAUACCGCAGCCUCGUCAUCGUAAUGGUUUUAAUACCUGAAUAGAUCUUGACCCCGUUUGACCGACCACCAUGAAAGUUGGUUCAUAUAUGUAAUAUUUCACGGAGAAGGUUUAUAUAAUCCCUUUGUUGUUGCCCCACACCAUGGCACACGCUGACGACUUUAAUGCAGACGAGAAUAAUAUAUUUGGAUUUUAACGAUUAUCUAUUCAUUUUCAAAAUCUACUAUUUUUUUAAAUCAAUUUUAUGUAAAAGUGAGGC